UACGUAGGGUGCAAGCGUUUGUCCGGAAUUAUUGGGCGUAAAGAGCUCGUAGGCGGUUUGUUGCGUCGGCUGUGAAAUCCCGAGGCUCAACCUCGGGUCUGCAGUCGAUACGAGCAAACUAGAGUGUUGCAGGGGGAGACUGGAAUUCCUGGUGUAGCGGUGAAAUGCGCAGAUAUCAGGAGGAACACCAGUGGCGAAGGCAGGCUC
rnacentral:rRNA from 1 species